rnacentral:rRNA from 1 species
AUGUCCCCAUGUGAGAAGCACGGCAUGGCAUCUGAGAGGCCUGUUGCCUUUGAAGGAAUAGACACAGGCAGGAUGUUUUUAGCAUGUGCACAGCCGGAAGGUAGCAAUUGUGGCUUUGUUAAAUGGGUUGAUCACCAGUGGCCCCCAACAAUGCAGACUGCAUUGUUGAAGCUAUGGGCAAUGGUUGAAGAUGCCAAAAGUACUAGGGUGAAUGACAAUCUUGAAAGUUCUUUCACUAUCCACCAUCUGACAGAAGAGAAGAACAAGCUGGAGGCCAACUAUGACAAGCUAGUCCAAGAUUCUGCCAUUACAUAUCAGCAGGAGGUAAGAAAAGAACUGAUUGAUGAUAUGAAGGCACAGAUGGCAACUGAGAUGGCAAAGAAAGAUGCAGAGACCCAGAAACUUACUCAGAAGUAUGAGCUGCUGGUCAACCUGACAAGAGCUCAAGCAACAGUCAUUCAGAACUUGAAGUUGAACAAAAUGAAAGAGAAGCAAGUGCUUACUGAAGCUAGGAUGAAUUUGGAGCUGAAGAAUGCAGAGCUAACAAAGUGUCAGGAGAAGCUCACCCAAGAGAAGCUAGAGUUGAAGCUUCAGGUUGCUGAUCUGCUUAAGGGAAAGGAAAAGCAUAUCAAGAGAAGUGGCAGUUAG